rnacentral:rRNA from 1 species
GAGGAGGGGGAGUCAAAGCCUAACGGCUGAACCAGCAAUUUGGGGGAAUGAAUAGUUUACAUUUGUAAGCUAGUUAUAUUUGGCUGUUUGAUUUAUAAAAAAAGAUAAUUUUUUUUAUAAGUUAUUCAUUUUAACUACUAAUUUUAAAGUUAAUUAAUUUAUCACAUAUACAACAGUAUAUUAAUAAAAGAAAUUUAUUCUUGUGGACAAAAUAAUAUCGAUUUUAUCGAAUAAAGUUCUAGAUAGAAUACUGAUUAUGACAAUUUUCUAUUUAUAUGUCUUGACCAAAAUGCGUGCCAGCAGUCGCGGCAAUACGUAGAAGACUAGUGUUAUUCAUCUUUAAUAGGUUUAAAGGGUACCUAGACGGUAUAAUUAGUCUUAAACACGAUACGGUUAUGCUAGAGUUAUAUAUGAGAAGGUGAGUAUUUAUAGAGGAGAGUUGAAAUUCCCUGAUACUAUAACGACUGGUAACGGCGAAAGCAACCUUUUAUCUAAUAACUGACGUUGAGGGACGAAGGCUCGGGUAGCGAAUAGGAUUAGAUACCCUAGUAGUCCAAGCAGAGAAUUAUGAAUGCCAUAGAUUAGAGUUUUUAGUCUAUAAAUGAAAGUGUAAGCAUUUCACCUCAAGAGUAAUGUGGCAACGCAGGAACUGAAAUCAUUAGACCGUUUCUGAAACCAGUAGUGAAGUAUGUUAUUUAAUUCGUAGUUACGCGAAAAACCUUACCACAAUUUGAAUAUUUAUUUUCUUUUGUAGAGAUUUCGGUAAUAUUUACAAGCGUUGCACGGCUGUCUUCAGUUAAUGUCGUGAGAUAUUGGUUAAUUCCAUUAAAUUAACGGAAACCCUUGCUUUAUUUAAAGUAUUAUUAAUAAAGCAGUUCACUAAUCACAAUGGAUUUGAUAACAGGGACCAAGACAAGUCAUCAUGGCCUAAAUAUUGUGGCUA